AGAGAUCAAGAGAUUAGAAAUAUAAAAGAAUCUUUAGAUUAAUUCUCGAAAGGGAAAUCCUUAAUUGUAUAUCUUUUCAAAGAUGAAUUUAUAAAUCCCUGAUUUAUGUUUUAUUCUUUUAUGCUUAUGUUUUUUAUGUAUUUGUUAAAGUAAAUAUUUGUUAUGUUUAUCAUUUCAUCCUAUGCAUAUAAUAAAAGUAUAACUGGAUUUCUAGGCUGAAUUUAUUGAGUUUGUGAAAAAUCUGAAUUAUUUGAAAAGUGUUCUGGUGAAAAAUGUUCUGAUGGACCAAUAGAAGCACAGCAAAUGGAUGGAGAACUUUAUACUUACACAGAAUUAUUACAAUCAAAUAGUAAAAUUAGUUUUGAGACAAAUUGUGGUAGAAGUAUAGAAUAUACUUUAUCUAAAGAAUCCGUAUGGGUUAGAUCUUUGAAUAUUAAAG
rnacentral:lncRNA from 1 species